UUUUGCAUAUUCUUAGGCCCGAUCUUGUGGCAGGAACUGGGUAGUUAGUGAACUCGCUCUAUGUUGUUCGUUCACUCGCAACACGGUUCCUGUCACAAGAUCGAGUCUGUGAAUAUACAAAUG
rnacentral:pre_miRNA from 11 species